rnacentral:rRNA from 1 species
GAUGAACGCUGGCGGCGUGCCUAAUACAUGCAAGUCGAGCGAACGGACGAGAAGCUUGCUUCUCUGAUGUUAGCGGCGGACGGGUGAGUAACACGUGGAUAACCUACCUAUAAGACUGGGAUAACUUCGGGAAACCGUAGCUAAUACCGGAUAUUAUUUUGAACCGCAUGGUUCAAAAGUGAAAGACGGUCUUGCUGUCACUUAUAGAUGGAUCCGCGCUGCAUUAGCUAGUUGGUAAGGUAACGGCUUACCAAGGCAACGAUGCAUAGCCGACCUGAGAGGGUGAUCGGCCACACUGGAACUGAGACACGGUCCAGACUCCUACGGGAGGCAGCAGUAGGGAAUCUUCCGCAAUGGGCGAAAGCCUGACGGAGCAACGCCGCGUGAGUGAUGAAGGUCUUCGGAUCGUAAAACUCUGUUAUUAGGGAAGAACAAAUGUGUAAGUAACUAUGCACGUCUUGACGGUACCUAAUCAGAAAGCCACGGCUAACUACGUG